CCUACGGGAGGCAGCAGUGAGGAAUAUUGGUCAAUGGUCGCGAGCCUGAACCAGCCAAGUAGCGUGAAGGAUGACUGCCCUACGUGUUGUAAACUUCUUUUAUCAAGGAAUAAAGUGAGGCACGUGUGCCUGUUUGUAUGUACUUUAUGAAUAAGGAUCGGCUAACUCCGUGCCAGCAGCCGCGGUAAUACGGAGGAUCCGAGCGUUAUCCGGAUUUAUUGGGUUUAAAGGGAGCGUAGAAGGGUUGGUAAGUCAGUUGGUAAAGGUUGCGGCUCAACCCUGACAUUGGAAUUGAAACUGGCAGGCUUGAGUGCAGGUGAGGGAUGUGGAAGUCGGGGUGUAGCGGGGAAAUGCUUAGAUAUCACGAAGAACUCCGAUUGCGAAGGCAGCAUAAUGAAACGCCACUGACACUGAAGCUCGAAAGUGCGGGUAUCAAACAGGAUUAGAUACCCGUGUAGUC
rnacentral:rRNA from 1 species